UACGUAGGGUGCGAGCGUUGUCCGGAAUUAUUGGGCGUAAAGGGCUCGUAGACGGUUUGUCGCGUCGGGAGUGAAAACACGGGGCUUAACCCCGUGCCUGCUUCCGAUACGGGCAGACUAGAGGUAUGCAGGGGAGAACGGAAUUCCUGGUGUAGCGGUGAAAUGCGCAGAUAUCAGGAGGAACACCGGUGGCGAAGGCGGUUCUCUGGGCAUUACCUGACGCUGAGGAGCGAAAGUGUGGGGAGCGAACAGG
rnacentral:rRNA from 1 species